rnacentral:rRNA from 1 species
UACGGGGGGAGCAAGCGUUAUUCGGAUUCACUGGGCGUAAAGGGUGCGCAGGCGGCCAAGUGUGUUAGGCGUGAAAGCCCGGGGCUUAACCCCGGAAUUGCACCUAAAACUACAUGGCUAGAGCAUUGGAGAGGGUAGCGGAAUUCACGGUGUAGCAGUGAAAUGCGUAGAUAUCGUGAGGAACACCAGAGGCGAAGGCGGCUACCUGGACAAUUGCUGACGCUCAGGCACGAAAGCGUGGGGAGCAAAAGGG